UAAUUGAUCGCUGGUAGCUUACAUUAAGUCUGGGUGGAUGUUCAUGACACAAUGUGCUCUAUCUUGCAUUAUAAAACUGGUGUAAAAUUGUAAAGUACACUGUAAAAUUGUUAUUACAUAAGCUCGGGGCUAUUUUUUCUCUUCAUAUUUUGUAGAUGAUGUGUGUGUGUGACCACAAAAGUCUAUCUUGAGUUAUUUCACGUUCGAAAUCUGUGUCGGUACCGCUUUAAAGGGACACUAAAGGCAACUAUUAAGUUGUUAUUGAUUGUUAAAUUAGCAGUUCAUAAACCUCGUGGUGUUACUUUUGUGCCAAGGAAAGGCUUAUUUUGAAAUAAUAUCACGUUUUAGUGGCCUGCAUUGGGUUAGCGUACUUCAAAUUACCCGCUUCAAGAAGCGGACAGACUCGCGUCGCUGUUGCCAUGCACAUUGUUGUGCGGCUUUACUGCGCGGUAGCCGACACUAGUAGACAGAACAAAAACAGUGAGAGUCACAGGAGCAACAACGUCCAUUGAUCAGUUUCCUGCCAUCGGCUCUGAGAGGCAAGACUUAUUUUGGUUCAACUGCGCCCCGCUAGAUGGCACGACUUGUCUAGUGUAACCAUGUGAAAAUGGAAUUUUUGAACCACUCGCGCCAUUCUCUGUAGUAACGUCCGGCAGUCCUUUUUUCCCUGAAUCAAACAGAAAGGAAAGAACAAGCUCCAUUUUAUUGCAUCUUUUGAUGCACGGAAGGUUCUUUAUUUAGUGCAGCUAGAUCGAUUACUAGUAAUUAAAUUUAGGCGUUUUUUCUGAUGUCAUUGGUAUCGUUUUUGAGAAUUUACUACUGCAAUGCAUGUAUUCUUGUGUAUUUACCUUAAUUUCUCAGUAAAUAGGGCACUGCUGUUGAUAUUAUUGUAGUUUUAGAUGUUCUUGAGCUUUCACUCUGGUGUAAAUUGUUAUUUGACUUUAGUGUCCCUUUAAGCAUUACUGCUAUGCUUAUGUUACGCCAUGACAACUUUCUGGUCACGAACGCCACCUGAAUGACGAAACUUAGCAGUGAAACAGCAUUUUUUACUCACCAUCUUCACAGUGCAGCUGUUUGCUGUGUGCUCUUGAUUCUAUGGUGUUGUCUACUGUCGAGCUCUUGAACAAUUUGAACUACCUCCCAAAGUAUUGCAGUGUCCCUAGUAAUGUUAACUUUUCCCUAACAUGCUAGGUGUGUUGCAUAUGCAAGUUGUGCAAGAAGGAUGGUGGUGGUUGGUUAUGGGUCCUAGCUGUACAGCUCUUUAAUAUUUUCAUAAUUUCACUAGAGCAUUGGUAAGCACCAUGCCACAGAGUCGCCAAUGAAAGUAGCUAGAAAGGGCUCAUGCACACUUUGUGUUCUUGUGUCUGAGCACCUGUUAGGCUUUAAGAAUAAACCUGGCAUUGCUACUGCAUUGAACCAUUGUGUGUGCAGGAACAAAUGCGUACAUAUCUGGUUACGUCAGAAGUAUGUAAGUGGCAGGAUCUACGUGGAGCUGGAUGGAAAAGCCUAUUACAAUAGUAUGUUCGUCAUCGUUGUGCCUGCGGUCUCAACUUUCAUGGCUGGGCUCCAUGACAUGGCAUUGACCAUUAUCUCGGUUGACGCUCUCAUGAAUCAUUCUUGUGGAAAAGUAUACAUAAUGUUUAUAGCAUCAUGGCCAUUUUUUUUUUUUUUGCUAGCCAAGACUCGGAUAAUAUGCCAUUGUGGUGCAUUAUUGGUAAAACUUUUACUUCUGGUGGUAGAUAUUGAGUGUAGUAUGGAAAGCUAUGUAAGAAUUUGUACUAUUGAAAUGUCUGUAUGUGUUGGUGAAAAGUAUUUGGACCCUUUACGGAAGCUUAAUGAACUAUGUGUUGCUCGCAGUUGUGAAUCCUAGUCUACACUUAGUGUAGCAUCUGAUAAAUUAAGCAGUGGUAACUGACAAUGAUUAAGGCGUAGUGAUAUUGGUAUAAAUGAGGAUUUAGGAGGAAGCCCGUGAACUCUGAAGAAUAAAUUUACUGCCCCACGAUCUCGCAACGUAUCGAAAAAUUGCUUAUGGGCACUAUGUAUAUAUAAUAUACGAGGUUUGUUAAAAGAAGCUAACGUGUCACUGACACUUCAAUGAGCGCAUCUUUCAAAGCUACUCGGUAUUCUUUUAACUGUAGGAAGGGGGAGACGGAAGCUUGCUAUGAAAACUCUGUAAACAGGGGUUGUGUCGAGCCGACGUUUGGACUAGUGGACUUGUCUUUCUCAAGGCUAGAACAGAACUGAUUUCCUUAGUGUUAGCAUGUCUAUGCUGUGUACCCUCUCCUCUGUGACAAAUUGUAAUAGCAAAUAAGGAACAUGUAUCUUGUGAAUAAAAAGAAAAUGAGGAAACAGCGAGAAGGUGAGGAUGUACAAAUGUCGCGGAGUCCCGGUUGUUAGAAGUUAACAAUGGCAGAUUUGAAAUUCCUAGACGGAGGGCUUAAUUUGCAGUGGUUUUCUUUGUGUAUGUACCAUACCGAAUGGAUUCAAGAGGCUCUUUAGAAACGUUUAUACCUACUGGCUGGAGUUAAUUGAAUUUGUGAAUAAGGUACAACUCUUUAUAUUUUCUGUCUCUUGUGGACAGGAAGUUUGACUGAGGAAUCUGCUCAAUGGCAUAUACAGCGCUGGUGUCACUGGUGUCACGAGCAUUUAUUAGUUAAAUUUUUUGGUUAACAGAUUACUCGACAAUCAGCAGACCCUGGUUAUUUUGCCCCGUGGCGAGUUUGAAUUUUAAUACUCAGGGCCUAUAAAAAGUUUUGCAGCUCAUAUGAUUGAAGAAGUUUGCUUAUUGCAUUUGUGACUUACUGUGAGAAUAAACUAAAAUAAAGCAGUCAUAUUAAAGCUUUCAGAUUGUUUCUGUAUUUUAUAUGCCACGAGACCUGAAAUAAAUUCAGACUGUUAUGGCAUUGUAAGCAUUGCAUUGAGAACUUGUAUUGGCAUUGAUUUCUUUUGUAAGCAGCAGCCUGUAGAUAGUAACUACAUGGUGUAAUAAAAGGCAGCUGUCUAUAUGUAAUUUAACUUCAAAAAUGACUGUUGCCUUGUUUUGUAUAAUUGAUUAUAUUUAAAGCACAAUUUAUCAUGAAGGUCAGUGGUAUAUGGAUUGAUUCUAUAAAAGUGAUUAAAAACGUUGGUUUUGUAGAACAAGUUUAUGUAUAUAUUAGCACCUUUUCGUACAUCUUUUGUCCUUGUUUGAAGUAAACUCUUCAUUGUCGUGAGCUUUGGAACGUAAUUUAUUUAUUUAUGUUUUGGUGAACCUAUGUCUUGUUUGUUGUGUCCACUGUAAAAAAAAUACGUUGUUCAAGUCGCCAAAUUGCAUUGUCAUACCACAGAAACUUGUAUUUUGAACAAGACCGCAUGCUUGGUGACCAAAAAAAGGUGUUUGCAGAAUGUAAUAAUUUAUUGGGCUGGACAAUAAAGCUGUAACUGUGGUGGCAAUGUUGUCAUAGUAAAAAAGAUUGUUGCUGUCCUUUGUAUGGUGGGCAGGUUAAAGCUAGAAAAAUAUGUGUACAAUAUAUGUUAUGAAAGCCCAGAAGUGCACCUUGAAAUUUGAGAGUAAACACAUUUUGCAAGUAAAUCAUUAAGUUGUGAAAACAGCAUUUGUCUGGAAA